AAACAAUCAAGGGCAAUUGGUGGAUGCCUUGGCGACACAUGGCGAAGAAGGACGUGGCAAGCUGCGAAAAGCCCCGGUGAGAUGCAAGCAAUCUUUGACCCGGGGGUUUCCGAAUGGGGAAACCCGGUAUGUUAACGGCAUACCACUUCGGGAUGAAUAUAUAGUCCCGAUAGAGCGAUACCCGCUGAAGUGAAACAUCUCAGUAAGCGGAGGAAAAGAAAGCGAAUGCGAUUCCCUGAGUAGUGGCGAGCGAAAGGGGAGCAGUCUAAACCGGAGGGAUUUAUCCUUCCGGGGUGUGGACUCCGAUGUGGGACUGGGACGGAUAGACGAACGGCAUGGAAAGGCCGGCCAUAGAGGGUGACAGCCCCUUAGUCGAAAUCCCGAACAGCCUUAGGAGUAUCCCGAGUAGCACCGGACACGUGAAACCUGGUGUGAAUGAGCGCCGACCACGGCGUAAGACUAAAUACACGGUGUCGACCGAUAGUGAACUAGUACCGUGAGGGAAAGGUGAAAAGGACCCCUGUUAGGGGAGUUAAAAGUACCUGAAACCAAUUGCCUACAAGCGGUCGGAGCCUCUAUAUGGGGUGACGGCGUACCUUUUGUAUAAUGGGCCUAGGAGUCUAUAUCAGUUGCAAGCUUAAGCGUUUACGACGCGGAGGCGCAGCGAAAGCGAGUCUGAAUAGGGCGACAAGUAUCUGGUAUAGCACCCGAAGCGUAGGCGAUCUAGCCAUGGCCAGGUUGAAGCAACGGUAAAACGUUGUGAAGGACCGAACCCAUUAACCUUGAGAAGUUACGGGAUGAGCUGUGGUUAGGAGUGAAAGGCUAAUCAAGCCACGUAAUAGCUGGUUCUCUCCGAAAUAUAUUUAGGUAUAGCGUCCAAUGCUUAUUACCGGGGGUAAAGCACUGAAAAGGCUAGGGCUCACACCAGAGUACCGAACCUUAUCAAACUCUGAAUACCGGUGAGUGAAGUUGGGCAGUCAGUCUGUGGGGGAUAAGCUUCAUAGGCGAGAGGGAAACAUCCCAGACCAUCAAAUAAGGUCCCUAAGACAAUGCUAAGUGGUAAGAAGGAGGUGAAUUUUCUUAGACAAUGGGGAUGUUGGCUUAGAGGCAGCCAUCAUUUAAAAAGUGCGUAAUAGCUUACCCAUCGAGAGAAUUUGCGCCGAAAAUGAUCGGGACUAAAGCAUUGCACCGAAUUUGUGGAACCAGCAAUGGUUGGUAGGAGAGCGUUCCAACGGCAUCGAAGCGGGAAAGGAAUUGACCGUGGAGCUUUUGGAAGUGAUAAUCUAGGCAUGAGUAACGAUAAGUAUGGUCAAAAUCCAUACCGCCGUAAGGAUAAGGUUUCCUGGGGAAGGUUCGUCCGCCCAGGGUUAGUCGGGAGCUAAGGCGAGGCCGUAAGGAGUAGUCGAUGCACAGCGGGUUAAUAUUCCCGCACCGGCUUAUAGGUGUCUGACCCGUAUAUUGACAGAAGCACGGAUGAGAGUGGGGUGUUGAACGUCCCUUUCGCGCAAGCGGACCUUGAGGCUACGGCCGAGGGGGAUUCUUAAAAGUGAUUCUCGGGAAAAUUUAUACGGUUAAUCUAUAGGUCGCCCGUACCGCAAACCGACACAGGUAUCCGGGAUGAGUAUUCUAAGGCGCGUGAGUUAAAUCUCUCUAAGGAACUCGGCAAAAUUGCCCUGUAUCUUCGGUAGAAGGGGUGCCGCAGCGAUGCGGUCACAGUAAAGAGAUCCAACCGACUGUUUAUCAAAAACACAGCUCUCUGCAAAGUCGCAAGACGACGUAUAGGGAGUGACAUGUGACCAAUGCGGAAAGGUGAAAGCUGGUUGUGCAAGCUUCUGGUCUAAGCCCCCGUGAAUGUCGGCCGUAACUAUAACGGUCCUAAGGUAGCGAAAUUCCUUGUCGGGUAAGUUCCGACCUGCACGAAUCAUGUAACGAGUUGGAUGCUGUCUCAGAGAGAUGCUCAGUGAAAUUGUAGUCGCGGUGAAGAUGCCGCGUACCCGCAGAAGGACGGAAAGACCCUAUGAACCUUUACUAUAACCUGAUAUUGUCAUUUGAUUUUCAAUACGUAGCAUAGGCGGGAGGCUUUGAAGCUUCACUCCAGGGUGAGGCAGAGCCGCAAUGUGAAAUACCGCUUUUUGUCUGUUAGAUGUCUAACCUUGACCCGUAAGCCGGGCUUGGGACAGUGUUAGGGGGUUAGUUUGACUGGGGCGGUCUCCUCCCAAAAUGUAACGGAGGACUGCGAUGGUUCCCUCAGACCGGUUGGCAAUCGGUCGGCGAGGAUAUGGCUAGAAGGGAGCUUAACUGUGAGACAUACAAGUCGAGCAGAUGGGAAACCAGGCCCAAGUGAUCCGGCAGUGGCUCGUGGGAGCGCUGUCGCUUAAGGGAUAAAAGGUACUCUAGGGAUAACAGGCUGAUUUCACCCAAGCGUUCAUAGCGACGGUGAAGUUUGGCACCUCGAUGUCGGCUCAUCACAUCCUGGGGCUGGAGAAGGUCCCAAG
rnacentral:rRNA from 1 species